AGAUAAGGUCAGCUGACCAGACAAGAUCACAUGUCCCCUCACACACACCUUUGAGAGAGAUCAAGAUUUCUGAAAGGGUAAACUGUCUGGCUUGUUCAGAUGAUGGCAGAUACAUCUUCCUGGGUCACACCCACGGUCUGUCUGUCAUCAGCACUUCCUGUUUCACCCCUGCGUGUACAUGGGAGGAGGGUGGAGCAGAGAUCACCUCCAUCCACAGCACCCGUCUGAGAGACACCACCCAUCUCCUCAGCACUGUGGAUAAUAUGGGUGUUCCACG
rnacentral:lncRNA from 1 species